AGCCCUGUAGCUCAGGGGUAGAGCAUCUGCUUUGCAUGCAGAAGGUACCAGGUUCCAUCCCCAGCAUCUCCAGGUAGGGCGG